UGUCUCCAGUAUCUUUGUUAUUAAAGACUAUUUAUUUUUAUCUGCGUCUUCGUGAGCUUUCUUACACGGACCAUAACAGAAGAACCGACCUACACAGUUUAUUUAUUUAGAGGCAUUUUUCUUUCUUUUGUUUUAUUAAUUUUUUUCCCCAAUGAACCUGCCUGCCGUCCAACUCCUCUGCCUUGAACAGGAAGACUGUUCCCUGGAGGAUUACAAAAAAGACUUUUUGGAUUUGGCAUGCCAAACUCACUACCUAGACCAUUCACUUUGCAUUUUCUUCCUCACCAGCCUGAGCGAGCGGUCCAAGGCACGCCUCCCAGGGAACGGUCCUAGGGAGAAUUUUGCCGCUUUUGUGGAGUGGGUGCUGGUGAACAACAACUCUCCUUUCACCAUUGGCCCUGCGGAGGAUGACUUUGCCACCAGCCCCACUCCAUCAACGACAGAGCCCACCGCAGACGGAGAGCCCAAGCUUGCCGCGAUGCAUUAGUCAGCACAAGAGGAAGAAACUGAGCUGACCAUUGCCCUGGAGACUGAGCCUCACGAUGAGUCAGACCAGAUUCACCUAAGGCCUUCCAGUCACCAGCUCCACAUAGACAUGAAGAUCCUUUGUCUCCGCCUCCAGCCUCCGAGUCCCGGGCUCCACCUCGGCCCUCCAACCCAUCAGCUCCACCUUGGCUCUUUGCUCCCUCGUCUCCAUCAUCGAAGAUGGCCAGUAAGGGAGAAGGGUGAAGAGGAAGUGCACAUCAAACCAGAAGAAAUCAAUGCCCUCCUUCUCGCCAGAAGUCUUGAGAAUGGGCAUGAUUAGUUUAAUUGGCUAACGAUCCAAAAGCCCAGGCUAGAGUCUAAUCCUUAGUGAGUAGUCUGAGCCCCGGCUGGAUCUGGCUUCCAGAUCCGGAAGCAGAGUAAACGAAAGAGACGUCCAAAUCAAAGUCUCUCAGACAGGCUACUGCUGUUAGCAUUAAUAGCAUCUGCUGAGAGACUUUACGUUUGACUGUAAACAUGUGUAGAGUUGAGUCAAUGCUCAUUUAUAGACUUAAUAGACUUUCUUUUGAGCAUUAUGGCUAAAAUUAUAUGCUUUUUUGGUUCGUAAACUAUAUUUAAGAUAACAUUUGUAAAAUCUUACAUGACAAAUAGAAAAUGUAAAGGUAAUGUAUAGCCAACCCUUAAGGGGUUUAUUUAGCAUUAAUGUCCAUCUGGCUGUUCAUUAGCUUGCUCAUUACACAGCAACUUGCCAAAGAAAUAAAUACAUGGACAUGAAAUAUUGAUUUUGAGUUGAAGUUGUUUUAUUACCUUUGUAGAUUAGCUUAAAGCUACCACUAAAAAAAAAAUGGUCCAGCAAAUCUUCAACCAAACAACAAGGCGAA